rnacentral:rRNA from 1 species
CGACGUAGGUAACCUGCCUUGUAGCGGGGGAUAACUAUUGGAAACGAUAGCUAAUACCGCAUAACAAUGGAUGACACAUGUCAUUUUAUUUUGAAAGGGGGCAAUUGCUCCACUACAAGAUGGACCUGCGUUGUAUUAGCUAGUAGGUGAGGUAAUGGCUCACCUAGGCGACGAUACAUAGCCGACCUGAGAGGGUGAUCGGCCACACUGGGACUGAGACACGGCCCAGAAUCCUACGGGAGGCAGCAUG